rnacentral:rRNA from 1 species
AUUGAACGCUGGCGGCAUGCCUUACACAUGCAAGUCGAACGGCAGCACGGGAGCAAUCCUGGUGGCGAGUGGCGAACGGGUGAGUAAUAUAUCGGAACGUGCCCAGUCGUGGGGAUAACGUAGCGAAAGCUACGCUAAUACCGCAUACGAUCUAUGGAUGAAAGCGGGGGAUCGCAAGACCUCGCGCGAUUGGAGCGGCCGAUAUCAGAUUAGGUAGUUGGUGAGGUAAAGGCUCACCAAGCCGACGAUCUGUAGCUGGUCUGAGAGGACGACCAGCCACACUGGGACUGAGACACGGCCCAGACUCCUACGGGAGGCAGCAGUGGGGAAUUUUGGACAAUGGGCGCAAGCCUGAUCCAGCAAUGCCGCGUGCAGGAUGAAGGCCUUCGGUGUAACGUAGCUUUGUUACGGAACGAACGGUAGAGCUCUAAUACAGUUGCUAAUGACGGUACGUAA